CCGUACCUAUCCCAUACCCGUCCAAUGUACCCGGUUAGGUGGGUAUUCCCCAUCCCAUUCGGGGCAAGGCCCCACGGGUAUCGGGUUGAACUAGUUUUUUUGCCAUCCCCAAUUUUAUGUGGAAUUUAUUAAGAAAUUGCCCCCACUUUUGGACUAGUUGACUUGUGCAAAUUGCUUUGGUAUCUCCUUGACUUGAAACAACUUUGAAGGUUCUUUACCCAAUGAACAAGAAUUAGAAAUUCUUAAUAAAUUUUUAAAAUAUUUUGCUUGUGUAUUUUUUCUUUAUAUAAAGGAGAAAGUGGGUUGGGCCGGUUGUGGGCUUAGCUACUGAAGCCAAGUUUGUCCUGAUCGGUCCGUUCCAAAAUUACACCCCUAGACAUGGAUAUUGACUUGGAGUCAUAUUUCCACGAUUAUGCCCAUGCGCUUAGACUACGGUAUUAUUUGUUUUUGAAAAAUGGAUGAGUGAUUUUUGUUACAAAAUUUGAAAUUAUCAACCUUAUCAAAAUUGGAGGAAGUAACGGCAAGAAAUGAGUAAUAGAAUACCAAAGAAACGCUAACGAAAAAAGGACAAAGUAACACCAAGUAAAAUGGAUGUAAAGUCGAGGCAAGAGUUGAACUCUUUGUCCAUAAGUUGAUUUUGUUUUUCAGUGCUUACGGAUGAUGGUAAUCAACUCCUAGGAUAUAAUGAUU
rnacentral:lncRNA from 1 species